rnacentral:lncRNA from 1 species
GAGAAUGCGCGGGUCGAGUGCUGUAGUUCGAUUUUUGCGUGUGUGCGUUGCUUGCGGCCUUUGUGCCUUUUUAUUCUUUGCUUACCUUUAUGAUAUAAAGACCUUAUUUCUUACAAGGAGGAAAAGACCGCUGACUUCAGAAACAGCGGGAACCCCAGCUCGUCCCCGCAUUCCCAGUUUACAGCUGAGGAAAUUAAGCUUCAAGUUGCCCAAGUUUAUAGAAUGAGUCAAUGGCAGAGGUUGAACUCAGAUGACAAAAUUGGGGUCUGGACGUGUGCAAGGACUUUUCCAAAGUCAGCUGGAAAGGAGCUGCUUAGCUGAGAGGUUCUGGCUCCAGAGUCUCCUGUGAAGUUGCAGUCAAGAUGUCUGCUGGGACCCCAGUCAUUUGAAGCCCUGUCUGGGGCAGGAGAAUCUAGGUCCAAAAUGGCCGUUGCAGGAGUCCUUAUCCACACCAUGUGGGACCUCUUCAUAGAUGUUCGAGUGUCCUCAUGGCAUGGCCACUGGCUUUCCCCAAACUUCAAACUAUGCAUAUGGGCCAGGCGCGGUAGCUCAUGCCUGUAAUCCCAACACUUUGGAAGGUCAAGGUGGGCAGAUCAUUUGAGGCCAGGAGUUUGAGACCAGCCUGGCCAACAUGGUGAAACUCCGUCUCUACUAAAAAAUACAAAAUAAUUAGCUGGGUGUCGUGGAGCAUACCUGUAAUCCCAGCUGCUCCGGAGGCUGAGGCACGAGAAUCGUCUGAACCCAGGUGAUUCUGCACUCUACUUGGGCUCUGUCUCAAAACAACAACAACAGCAACAACAAAAACUGUGGUAUUUUUAAUGAACUAAAUAUUAAUCUGCUAACACAGCAUAGGUUUUAUGAUUACUGCAAUUCAAAAGUCAUAAUAAAUUUUAAAACAAAUCCUCCUGUACCUGUUGUGGUGCAUGCAGAAACUUUUCCUGUUCAACACACUUAUAUGGCACUAUAUAGGGAUAUACCAAAUAGCUCAGGUACAUAGUGAAUACAACUUUAACACUUAUAUUGAAAUGCUAAUCUUACUUGCCAAUAUUAGUGGCACAUUAGCAUAAUUUAACUUUUAUAAAAUUAUGGAAAACAGUUUAAAAUUAUUCUCCCUAAUAUUAGCAAAUUGCAUUAAUGGCAUGUACCGUGUGCCAGUUUGUUUCCAAAUAAACAAAAUGUACCUUGAUAUGCCACUUCAGAGCCAGCAGAGGGAGCUCAUACUUUUUUAUUGUUUUCAACUUACUGAAGAAAAUUUGCUUUUAAAAGCUACUGUGUUAUAACCAAUGAGAACCAAGAAAA